GAUGUAAUUAAUUGUGAAGCAAUUGUGGCUUCAAACAAUGGCGGCGAUGACAAAAAUUUUGAACAAUUACAAAACGAAUUGAUUAAAGAGAAAAAAAUAAAUAAGUGUCUUUCAAUAAAGCUAAAAAGUAUACACAUAAAACUUAACAACCUGUAUCUUAAAAAACAACAAAUUUAUAAAACAAUUCAAGGAAAAAUAAAAGAAAUAGAUGAGCACUUAUUUAUUUUAGAGACCGUAGUAAAUAAAAAUAGUACUCAGGAUGUUACGCUUGAUGAUACAUUGCCACAUGCUGUACCAUGUACAGAUUUAAAAAAAAAAAAAAGACGAAAUAGAGGGAUCUAGUGAUAAACAUGAACAACUUGAAGAAGCUGAUGGUUCAAACGACGUUAAAAUUAGAAACUGUGAAAAUGACGUUAUAAAAUUAAAAAAUGUUGUAAAUAAAUUCGAAAAGGAUUUAAAAAAUGAACAGGUUAAUAAAGUAAAAAUAAAUGUUGAAUUAAAUUAUUAUAAAGAAAAAUUAAAAGAAGAAAUUGAAAAAAAUAAUAAUUUUACAAAUAAAAUAAAAAGUUGCGAAUUAUGUAUAAACGAAUUUAAAAAUGAAAAUAUAAAAAACAUAAAUGAAUUAAAUAUAACAAAAAUAGAAAUAGAUAAAUAUAAAAACUUAAAUAUGGAAUUAAAUACAAAAUAUAUAGUAUUAAAUGAUGAAAAGGAAAAAUUAAUUGAAAAUAAUAACGAGUUAAAAAGUCAAUUAAAAAGUGUAAAAACAUUAUUACAUAGUAUAAAAACAAAAGAACAAAUGUUUUAUACGUUUGCUGAAAAAAUAUAUAAUAUUAUAGGAUUUUUAAAAAAAAAUAAUGAAUGUGAUAUUGUUAAUAAUAAAUUAGCAAAUCGGAUAAAUAUGAUAAAUGACAGAGUGUUUGUUCAGGUGGAAUUAUAUAUUGAUCUUAUAUCUGGCUGUAUACGAAAUUUAGUUCAAGCAAAAAGAGGAUUACUGGAUAAAGUCGAGGAGCUAGACAAACUAAAAAAAGAAUCGAGUCAAAUAAAAAACGAAUUAUUACUAAAAUGCAAAAGCUAUGAAAUUAUAAAAUCGAAAAUAGAAAAAUUGGACGAUAAUCUGGACAAAUCAAAUUUAACAACUGUUAUUGAAAAAGAGAGUGAUAAUAAUAGUAAUAUUAUAGAAGUAGACAAAUUAAGAGAGGAGUUAAAAAAAGGAAAUAAAAUAAUAACAAUUUUAAAAAAAAAAAAUGGUUUACAUUUAAAAAAAAUAAAAUUAUUAAAAAGGAAAGAAUAUAUAAGUAAAAAAAAAAUGUAUAAAUUAAAACAUAUUAUAGAACAUACUAAAAUAAUUGCACAUAAACAUAUAAAAUUGAAUGAUAAUAAAUUAAAAAUAUUAAAAAAUAAAAAUUAUGAUUUAAAUAAUGAAUUGAAAAAUAUGAACAAUAAAUUAGAAAAAUAUAUGAACGAAUUAAAUAUUGUUCAUAAUAAUAUAACAAAAAUGGAAAAAGAAAAAAAUGAAUUAAUAAAUGAGUUAAGCAAAUUUAAAGAAGAGAAUAGUGAGUUAAUAAAAAAGGUACAAAAUAUGAAUGAAAAAAAAAAACAAAUGAAAAUAAAAAUAUACUCUUUAAAUAAAAAUAUAAUAAAUACAACUAACAAAUUAAAUGAAACAAUUGUAAAAAAUGAAAAAAUAAAUUAUAAUUUGAGUAAUUACAAACGUAUACAUAAAAACGAAAUAAAAGAAAAAGACAAUUAUAUAACUAUGUUAAAAAAUAAAUAUUGUAAUGUAAAAGAAAAAAUAGAAGAAUUAAAUAAAAAAAGUGAUAUUAUUAACAGUAGUAAAAUCGAAACGUUAACUGAACAGUUAAGUUGCUAUAAAGAAGAAAAUGAAACUUUGAAUGAAAAAAUAAAAGAAUGUUCUAAUAAUAUAAAAAAUAAAGACAAUAAAAUAAUUAUGUUGAAAACUGCUCUUAAAAAUGAAUUAAUGAAAAAAGAAGAACAAAGAGAACAAGAAAAGAUAGAACAACAAAAAAAAAAAGAAUUCAUAGAAUUCAGAGAAAAAAAAAAUCAAAUAAAAACAAAUCAAUUAACGAUUUUAUCAAAAAAAAUGAAAAAAGAAAAUGAAAAAUUAAAAAGUGUUAUACAAAGCUUAAAACAGCAAUUAUUUAAAAUGCAGUUAGAAAUGGAACAAAUAGAAAAAGGAAAUAAAACACAUAAAAAUGAACAAAAUAAUGUAUUAAAAAAUUUAAAAAAUGAAAUUAUACAAAAGGAAAAAGAUAUUAAUAACAUGAAACAAGAACUGGAAAAUAUACAAAAACAAAUGAAUAAAAGUUUAGAAAAAAAAAAAGAAAUGUUACAAGAGUUAAAUAAAGAAAUGGAAAAAAUAAAAACUUUAAAUAGUACAUAUGAAAAUGAAAUAAAAGUUCUGAACAGACAAAUAGAUAAUAUAAAUGAACAAUUAAAAAAAGAAAUAUGUUUAAAAAAUGAAGAAAAAAAAAAAUAUACCGAAAUAAAUGAAUUAUUACAUGUUGCUAACUUAACAAUAAAAGAAAAAGAAGGUAUAAUUCAGUUGAUGGAAAAUGAAAAACAUGUUGUUGAAAAUGAAACAAAAAAAAAAGAAGAAA
ensembl:lncRNA